rnacentral:rRNA from 1 species
UACGUAGGGUGCGAGCGUUGUCCGGAAUUAUUGGGCGUAAAGAGCUCGUAGGCGGUCUGUCGCGUCGGUCGUGAAAACUUGGGGCUUAACCCUGAGCUUGCGGUCGAUACGGGCAUGACUGGAGUUCGGCAGGGGAGACUGGAAUUCCUGGUGUAGCGGUGAAAUGCGCAGAUAUCAGGAGGAACACCGGUGGCGAAGGCGGCUACCUGGACAGAAACUGACGCUGAGGCACGAAAGCUAGGGGAGCAAACAGG